rnacentral:misc_RNA from 1 species
GGCGUUUUGCCUCUGUAACCAAACAGGAAGGACGGCUCGUUCCCUUAUUCCGGAUUAGGGUUAAACUCUUCACCUGUCACCAUUCUCUGUUUCUUAGGCGCCAAACUCUUGCAAGCAAAAUCCACCCAACUAACAAUAACAGAGAAGGAAUGAGCAGCCAAAUCCCAACAAGCAAUGAUCGUUCAAGGACAUAUUGGACACCAACAAUGGAGCGCUAUUUCAUUGACCUUAUGUUAGAACAGAUGCAUAGAGGGAACAGGAUUGGCCAUACCUUCAACAAGCAGGCAUGGACAGACAUGCUUAUAGUGUUCAAUGCAAAAUUUGGAUCUCAGUAUGACAAAGACGUCUUAAAAAGUCGUUAUACAAAUUUAUGGAAGCAAUUCAAUGAUGUAAAGAAUCUUCUUGGUCAAAGUGGGUUUUCUUGGGAUGAAACUCGAGAGAUGGUAGUAGCUGAUGAUUAUGUCUGGAAUGCUUACCUAAAGGUUCAUCCAGAUGCUCGUUCCUACAGGACUAAAGCAGUGUUGAAUUUUAAUGAUUUGUGCUUCAUAUAUGGGUACACCAUUGCAGAUGGAAGAUACAGCAGAUCGAGUCAUGAUUUAGACAUUGAUGAUGAAAUCCAAGCUGCAAACAUUGGUGAUACAAUAGGAAACUUUGCCCCAUCAAAUAAUGAACACCCAAGGACAGAGUGGACUGCAGCUAUGGACCAGUAUUUCAUUGAGCUUAUGCUGGACCAAAUAGUAAAAGGCAAUAAAGCUGGUAGUACAUUUAAUAAACAAGCUUGGACUGAUAUGCUUGCCUCCUUCAAUGCAAAGUUUGGUCCUCAACAUGGCAAAAGGGUUUUAAGACAUCGAUACAAGAAAUUGUUGAAGUAUUAUGGUGAAAUGAAGGUUCUACUUAAGCAAAAUGGUUUUACCUGGGAUGAAACUCAACAAAUGAUUGUAGCUGAUAAUGAUGUUUGGGAUACUUAUAUUAAGGCACAUCCACAAGCACGAGCAUAUAGAAUGAAGACCUUGCCAAAUUACAAUGAUUUGGCCCUUAUAUUUGGUGAUGCAACUGAAGAUGGAGUUGACACUAAUUUACAUCAAGAAAAAGAGCAUGAAGUGGAAAAUUCUCAAAUAAAAACCGGUGAAUUGCAACUUUUAUAUCCUAUGUUGUUUGUGCGGUCAGUUUCCUUGUUACAACUUAGAAGUUGCCUUCUUAGUUUGGAAUUUCUUGACUCCAUCAGGCAUGGGCAUUCUUCCCUAGUUUCUUUCCGUGAUGUAAAUAUGAUUAGGAAGUUAUAAAUUUUGUACUGCUGUGAAUUCUUAUCACAUGUGUCAUCAUAUAGUCGGUAGCAUGAUUCAUGUACAAUUUCAGAGAGAUUUUGAUGAAUGAAAAUUGUCCUUACAAAUAGACUUUUGUGCCUGUAUGUGAAGGUAAGGGAAGCCAAGCUCCUGCCAGUAAUGAUCGUACAAGAACAUAUUGGACACCACCAAUGGAUCGUUAUCUUAUUGACUUGUUAUUGGACCAGGUGCAUAGAGGAAAUAAACUUGGACAGACAUUCAUAAGCCAGGCUUGGAUUGACAUGGUUGCAUCAUUUAAUGUCAAAUUCCAAUCUCACCAUGACAAAGAUGUUUUGAAAAACCGGUACAAGCAUUUGAGGAGGAUGUAUAAUGACAUAAAAAAUUUGCUUGAAAAUAGUGGGUUUUCAUGGGAUGAAACGCGAGAAAUGAUAACAGCUGAAGAUCAUGUUUGGGAUGCCUAUACCAAUGCGCACCCUGAUGCUCGAUCAUACAGAGUUAAAACUGUGCCAAGCUACCAGAAAUUGUGUGUUAUAUUUGGACAAGAAAGUUCUGAUGGAAGAUAUAGCCGUUUAGCUCGAAUUGUGGACCCUAAUGGUGAAACACCUGGUUUAGUGAUUGGUUAUUCUGGCGUGGAUCCUUCGACAAUUGAUUGGCAACCAGGAAUGGAUCGAUAUUUUAUUGAGCUUAUGUUAGAGCAGGUGCAUGGAGGGAAUAAGAUUGAUCUCACAUUCAAUGAACAAGCAUGGACUCACAUGGUUGAAUCAUUUAAUGAAAAAUUUGGACUUGUAUGUGACAAAUACAUUUUAGAAAGUCGGUACAUAACUUUGAUGAAAGAGAGUGACAACAUUAGCAGUCUUCUUAAAUGUAGUGGUUUUUCAUGGGACGUAACUCAGCAAAUGGUAGUUGCUGAUGAUGCUGUCUGGGAAUCUUAUAUUCAGGUGAAUUCCUCACUUGGUAUCAGUUUUGGUAUCUUAAUUGUCAUGUGCCAAACUAUUCUCCAUUUCCCAUCUAGAGUGGUCUGGACCAUCAUCUCACGGACAGUGGUCGCAGGAUCAUCCUGCUGCUACCGUCUUCUGUGGGGUAGAGUGAGAUCUAUUAUUGUUUAUGUGCACAGUCAUGCGUCCAUCUGUGUGCAGUUGCAUGUCAUGCUUCUUCAAGAAAAUGACCACCAUAUCACUCUGAGUUGGGAACUUUUAUUGCCUGCAUAAAUGAGCUGAUUUUUCAUGUUAGUCCUUCAAUUGCAAGAUCUUCUUGCUUAAAAUUUUGCAGGUACAGCCAGAUGCCAUUGCAUACAGGAAUAAAGUCUCAGAGAGUUAUAUUGAUCUAUGCCAAAUUCAAAGAAACGAAGUGUCAAAUAUUGGAGAUCAGUGUCUACAGGUGCAAACUGAAAAUGAGACUGAAGAAGUUAGGGUGGAUGUACUACUUGGAGAUUUACAGUUUCCGGUGGAGGAUAUUCAAAUAUCUGAUCAACAGCGAAAGAGACCCACUACACCAUCAGACUACGAACAUUCUAGCAAGGUACAGAAAAUUGGCAAAGAGGACACAACCUUGUCUGGGACAGCAGAAGCAGUAACAACACCAUUGAAUAAGAAAAAGGGCAAGAACAGUGGAACAAUAGAAAAUGCAAUUGAUGCACUUCAAGCUAUAGCAGACAUAGAUGAAGAACUUUUGUUGGAUGCUUGUGAUCUUCUUGAAGAUGACAAAAAGGCAAAGACAUUUUUGGCACUGGACGUUACGCUGCGAAAGAAGUGGUUACUAAGAAAACUUCGUCCAUAGGAGUCAUUCAUAUUAUUUCACUCCUGUGGGUUUACAACUCAUCUUCUUUCCAAUUUUAAAAAUGUAAAUCUAGAUUAGAUUUUGUUUGAGCAGGUUUAGCUGAAAAGCCAUUCAUGAUCAUAAGCAAGGCCUUCUGCAACUUUUGUAGCACUUCGUACUGACAUCCCCUGUGAAUAGAAUGAAAGAUUUUUCAACAUGUUAUUAUAAAUUUUCCUUUUUAGGAUUCCUGAUGCCCUUUUCUUGUUUUUGUUAAUAAGAAUUAGCAUAAAUCAAGCUUGUAUAUAUAUGCAGAUCACAAUUCAUGUGAUGUGCCGCCUUCGUUAGAAUUUAAACAUUUUCUUUUAAUGAAUCAAGUUGUGGGUUUGAACUUUGAAUUUCG